rnacentral:rRNA from 1 species
GUCCAGACUCCUACGGGAGGCAGCAGUGAGGAAUAUUGGUCAAUGGGCGUAAGCCUGAACCAGCCAAGUCGCGUGAGGGAUGAAGGAUCUAUGGUUCGUAAACCUCUUUUAUAAGGGAAUAAAGUGCGGGACGUGUCCUGUUUUGUAUGUACCUUAUGAAUAAGGAUCGGCUAACUCCGUGCCAGCAGCCGCGGUAAUACGGAGGAUCCGAGCGUUAUCCGGAUUUAUUGGGUUUAAAGGGUGCGUAGGCGGCCUUUUAAGUCAGCGGUGAAAGUCUGUGGCUCAACCAUAGAAUUGCCGUUGAAACUGGGGGGCUUGAGUAUGUUUGAGGCAGGCGGAAUGCGUGGUGUAGCGGUGAAAUGCAUAGAUAUCACGCAGAACCCCGAUUGCGAAGGCAGCCUGCCAAGCCAUGGCUGACGCUGAUGCACGAAAGCGUGGGGAUCGAACAGGAUUAGAUACCCCGGUAAC